CCUACGGGAGGCAGCAGUGAGGAAUAUUGGUCAAUGGGCUUACGCCUGAACCAGCCAAGUCGCGUGAGGGAAGACUGCCCUAUGGGUUGUAAACCUCUUUUGUCAGGGAGCAACGCCGGCUACGUGUAGCCGGACUGAGAGUACCUGAAGAAAAAGCAUCGGCUAACUCCGUGCCAGCAGCCGCGGUAAUACGGGGGAUGCGAGCGUUAUCCGGAUUUAUUGGGUUUAAAGGGUGCGUAGGCGGAAUGCCAAGUCAGCGGUAAAAUCGCGGGGCUCAACCUCGCUCCGCCGUUGAAACUGGCGUGCUUGAGUGGGCGAGAAGUAUGCGGAAGGCGUGGUGUAGCGGUGAAAUGCAUAGAUAUCACGCAGAACUCCGAUUGCGAAGGCAGCAUACCGGCGCCCAACUGACGCUGAAGCACGAAAGCGUGGGUAUCGAACAGGAUUAGAUACCCCUGUAGUC
rnacentral:rRNA from 1 species